rnacentral:lncRNA from 1 species
AGAAGAGCGGGCUAAGACGCCGGAGGAGGUGGCGGCGGCUGGGAGAGGCGAGGGUUCUGGCCGAUUUUAGCAUCGAAACUAGGAGAAAUAAGAAUGGCUGUAGAGGAACUUCAGUCUAUAAUAAAGAGAUGUGUAAGUAUUAAUUUUUGUAAAAUUAAAUACCUUUCAAAAUAUGGGAAGGGCACAGAUUGUUUUUAAUUAUAUUUGUGGUCACUCAAAUUGUUUAUCUUCUUUAAUCCUUGCUUUUUUUGACCUGUAAAGAGCAUGAGUGGGGGAGGCAGAUUGGAUUAUUUCUCCAGGUGACAUACUUAUCUAAAUAACCUUUUACAUUUUAAUCCUGAUCCUUUUCAUAGAUUUCACUGGUACAGUAGAUUUCAAGGUCACUUAUUAAAGUAUUUAUUAGGGUAAUCCUAAUUUUGAUACGUGUGUUAUUUACGUUACAUUUAUCUAGAAUUUAAACAGAUUUCCUUUUUUCAUAGAUAAAUCAAGAAGUUAUUGUAUUUAAUUUUUAUUUGCAUAUACUUUUUUUUGUUUGUUUUUUGGGUUUUUUUUUUUUUUGCCAGCAAAUCCUA